AGAAUAAACCUGAGAGUUGAGGGCAGAUGCCGGAGACAUUUGCCUGGCGGACAACUGUAUAUAAAGCUUCUUUAUCUUUUUGAGUCGUAUGAGUGGGUGUGCGCACUGAGCCCUUAUUGAUAUCAGCCCCACGGAUGCCACAAUAAGUGGACAUUGGUAAUAAUGGGG